rnacentral:rRNA from 1 species
CGGGAUUGGAAUGGGGGCACCCUGAUCAGCAUGCCGCGUGUGUGAUGAAGGCCUUCGGGUUGUAAAGCCCUUUUGUCCGGAAAGAAAUCCCUUGCCCUAAUACGGCGGGGGGAUGACGGUACCGGAAGAAUAAGCACCGGCUAACUACAUGCCAGCAGCCGCGGUAAUA